rnacentral:miRNA from 1 species
UGUUAUUGGACUACAACUCCCAUCAUCCCUAGGCCAGAGCUCAGGGAUGAUGGGAGUUGUAGUCCAACAACA